rnacentral:rRNA from 1 species
GACGAACGCUGGCGGCGUGCUUAACACAUGCAAGUCGAACGGAAAGGCCCUGCUUUUGUGGGGUGCUCGAGUGGCGAACGGGUGAGUAACACGUGAGUAACCUGCCCUUGACUUUGGGAUAACUUCAGGAAACUGGGGCUAAUACCGGAUAGGAGCUCCUGCUGCAUGGUGGGGGUUGGAAAGUUUCGGCGGUUGGGGAUGGACUCGCGGCUUAUCAGCUUGUUGGUGGGGUAGUGGCUUACCAAGGCUUUGACGGGUAGCCGGCCUGAGAGGGUGACCGGGCAAAAUGGGGCUGGGGAUACGGCCCAGACCCUUCGGGGGGGAAGAGGUGGGGAAUUUGGCCAAAGGGCGGAAGCCUGAUGCAGCAACGCCGCGUGCGGGAUGACGGCCUUCGGGUUGUAAACCGCUUUCGCCUGUGACGAAGCGUGAGUGACGGUAAUGGGUAAAGAAGCACCGGCUAACUACGUG